rnacentral:rRNA from 1 species
GACGAACGCUGGCGGCGUGCCUAAUACAUGCAAGUCGAACGCAGUGGGGACGGGUGCGUAACACGUGGGUAACCUCCCAUCAGAGGGGAUAACACUUGGAAACAGGUGCUAAACCGAUACUGAUGGAUGGACCCGCGGUGCAUUAGCUAGUUGGUGAGGUAACGGCUCACCAAGGCGACGAUGCAUAGCCGGCCUGGUAGGGUGAGCAGCCACACUGGAACUGAGACACGGUCCAGACUCCUACGGGAGGCAGCAGUAGGGAAUAUUCGGCAAUGGACGAAAGUCUGACCCAGCAACGCCGCGUGAGUGAAGAAGGUUUUCGGAUCGUAAAACUCUGUUGUUAGAGAAGCGUUAUCUAACCAGAAAGCCACGGCUAACUACGUGCCAGCCGCCGCGGUAAUUC